rnacentral:rRNA from 1 species
UUAACACAUGCAAGUCGAGCGGGCACCUUUCGGGGUGUCAGCGGCGGACGGGUGAGUAACGCGUGGGAACGUGCCCUCUGGUUCGGAAUAACUCAGGGAAACUUGAGCUAAUACCGGAUACGCCCUUUUGGGGAAAGGCUUGCUGCCGGAGGAUCGGCCCGCGUCUGAUUAGCUAGUUGGUGAGGUAACGGCUCACCAAGGCGACGAUCAGUAGCUGGUCUGAGAGGAUGAUCAGCCACACUGGGACUGAGACACGGCCCAGACUCCUACGGGAGGCAGCAGUGGGGAAUAUUGGACAAUGGGCGCAAGCCUGAUCCAGCCAUGCCGCGUGAGUGAUGAAGGCCUUAGGGUUGUAAGGCUCUUUUAUCCGGGACGAUAAUGACGGUACCGGAGGAAUAAGCCCCGGCUAACUUCGUGCCAGCAGCCGCGGUAAUACGAAGGGGGCUAGCGUUGCUCGGAAUCACUGGGCGUAAAGGGCGCGUAGGCGGCGUUUUAAGUCGGGGGUGAAAGCCUGUGGCUCAACCACAGAAUGGCCUUCGAUACUGGGACGCUUGAGUAUGGUAGAGGUUGGUGGAACUGCGAGUGUAGAGGUGAAAUUCGUAGAUAUUCGCAAGAACACCGGUGGCGAAGGCGGCCAACUGGACCAUUACUGACGCUGAGGCG